rnacentral:precursor_RNA from 8 species
GUAACCAAUACUAAUCUUCGCAUUUCUUACCUGGAAGUUGGGAUGGCUUUUAUUUACAUCUUGUAAAAGUCUUCACUACUUUCAGUUCGGAGAUGUGUCUUAAUACUUAACACAGCU